CAGAAACAGUCAUUUUACAGGCAACUGAAGUGAUUUUUUGUUGUGUAAUAAUAAUUUUCCUUUUCUUAUUCUUUUUUGGUCUGAUGCAAAGUAUGACAGGUAGGAUCUUACUAACAUCCUUCCUGAAUGGCAUGGAAAUGAGAAGGGAAGAGCAAGCAAGCGAAGGGAGAAGUGAAUGCAAGGGGGAUGAUCCUGGAUACAAGGACAACAAUCCUACUGUCACAUUUCUGUGUCUUUAGUGGUUAAGACCCAAUAGUGUAUCGUUUGAGAUGCUGGAGUUCAGGAUCCUACGAGGAGGAAGCUGGGCAAUAAGUAAGAUCUCAACCUGAACUUCAGGAGAGCUAACUUUGGCCUCUUCAGGGACCUCCUUAGGGGAAUCUCAUGGGGUAGGGCCCUAGAAGGAAGAGGAGUACAAGAAAGCUGGUUAAUAUUCAAGCAUCACCUCCCCCAGGCUCGAGAUCGAUGCAUCCCUCUGAGCAAGAAGUCGAGCAAAGAGGGCAGGAGACUUGCAUGGAUGAGCAAGGAACUCCUGGCAAAACUCAGACAGAAG
rnacentral:lncRNA from 1 species